AGGAGAGUGGAUUCCAGGUGGU
rnacentral:miRNA from 1 species